CAUUUUUGAGUUACAUACAUAUAUUUAAAUAUAAUCGAGAUAUAAAAAUCUCCUCAAAAUAA
rnacentral:tRNA from 1 species